GGGAAGUAAAAGUCGUAACAAGGUUUCCGUAGGUGGACCUGCGGAAGGAUCAUUAAUAAACGGCUCCUGAUUUGGAGCACUUAAUAAUCCUACCCUAUGUGAAUUUGUUGUUUUGAAAUAAUUUUUUUUUUAAAAAAUUAUUGAUUGUCUUUCCCUGUUGAAUUUUGGAUUGUCGUUUAAGACAAUUAGAAUUCACAGGGGAUAGUCAGUAAUUUUUUUUAAAAAGACCUUUUUUUUAAAUUAAACUUUUUGUAUUCAUUUGUCUAAAAUUAUUUUUAUAAUAUAAAAACAACUUUUGACAAUGGAUCUCUUGGUUCUCGCAACGAUGAAGAACGCAGCAAAAUGCGAUAAGUAGUGUGAAUUGCAGAAUACGUGAAUCAUCGAAUCUUCGAACGCAUAUUGCACUUUUUUAGUUUACCAAAAAAGUAUGUCUGUUUGAGUAUCAGUAAAAUAUUCUCAUAAAACAUUUUGUUUUUAUGGUUAUGAGUGUUUUACAACGAUACAAGUUGUUUCACUUUAAAUUCUUUGUCUUUUAAAAAAUCAUUAAAAACUGAUUUUUUUUUAAAAAUUGGAUAAAAUUUUCCCGUAAAAAGGAAUAACCUAAACAAUUUUAAAUUAAAAUUGGUUUGAUUUCUUUUAAGACUCAAAGGAAAAAAAGUAAAAAUUAACUUGAUCUCAAAUCAGAUAAGAGUACCCGCUGAACUUAAGCAUAUCAAUAAGCGGAGGAAAAGAAACUAACAAGGAUUCCCUUAGUAACGGCGAGUGAAGCGGGAAGAGCUCAAAUUUGAAAUCUUCAAGGUUUUACCUUGACGAAUUGUAGUUUAAAGAAGUGUUUUCUGUUGGAGUUUUGGUAAAAGUUCUUUGGAAUAGGACAUCAUAGAGGGUGAGAAUCCCGUAUUUGACCAUUAUUUCCAACUUUGUGAUACACUUUCAAAGAGUCGGAUUGUUUGGGAAUGCAGUCCAAAAUGGGUGGUAAAUUUCACCUAAAGCUAAAUACUGGCGAGAGACCGAUAGCGAACAAGUACCGUGAGGGAAAGAUGAAAAGAACUUUGAAAAGAGAGUUAAACAGUACGUGAAAUUGUCAAAAGGGAAGCGUUUGACACCAGUGUUGUUUUCUCGAAAAUCAAUUAAAAAUGGUGGGAUUUUGUGUUGUAUUGACUUUAUCAGCUUUCUGCACUUUUUUCCUGUCUUUUUUAAUGCACUUUUCGUUUAACAAGUCAACAUCAAUUUCUUUUGUUGUAAAAGGGUCAUUGGAAGGUGGCUUUCUUUUCGGAGAAAGUGUUUAUAGCCUUUGACUUCUGCAAUCGGAGGGAUUGAGGUCAGCAGCGUAGAUCCUUCGGGGUUAGAUGCAUUGGUGCUAAGUUAUAGCCUUUCAUAGACAACUUGUUGACUAUGAUCAGUCAUGUAGCUUACUCGCUGAUGUUAUUUUACCUACGCUUAGGAU
rnacentral:misc_RNA from 1 species